rnacentral:rRNA from 1 species
AGAGUUUGAUCCUGGCUCAGGAUGAACGCUAGCGACAGGCUUAACACAUGCAAGUCGAGGGGCAGCACAGGUAGCAAUACCGGGUGGCGACCGGCGCACGGGUGAGUAACGCGUAUGCAACUUGCCUAUCAGAGGGGGAUAACCCGGCGAAAGUCGGACUAAUACCGCAUGAAGCAGGGGCCCCGCAUGGGGAUAUUUGCUAAAGAUUCAUCGCUGAUAGAUAGGCAUGCGUUCCAUUAGGCAGUUGGCGGGGUAACGGCCCACCAAACCGACGAUGGAUAGGGGUUCUGAGAGGAAGGUCCCCCACAUUGGUACUGAGACACGGACCAAACUCCUACGGGAGGCAGCAGUGAGGAAUAUUGGUCAAUGGACGCAAGUCUGAACCAGCCAUGCCGCGUGCAGGAUGACGGCUCUAUGAGUUGUAAACUGCUUUUGUACGAGGGUAAACGCAGAUACGUGUAUCUGUCUGAAAGUAUCGUACGAAUAAGGAUCGGCUAACUCCGUGCCAGCAGCCGCGGUAAUACGGAGGAUUCAAGCGUUAUCCGGAUUUAUUGGGUUUAAAGGGUGCGUAGGCGGUUUGAUAAGUUAGAGGUGAAAUUUCGGGGCUCAACCCUGAACGUGCCUCUAAUACUGUUGAGCUAGAGAGUAGUUGCGGUAGGCGGAAUGUAUGGUGUAGCGGUGAAAUGCUUAGAGAUCAUACAGAACACCGAUUGCGAAGGCAGCUUACCAAACUAUAUCUGACGUUGAGGCACGAAAGCGUGGGGAGCAAACAGGAUUAGAUACCCUGGUAGUCCACGCAGUAAACGAUGAUAACUCGUUGUCGGCGAUACACAGUCGGUGACUAAGCGAAAGCGAUAAGUUAUCCACCUGGGGAGUACGUUCGCAAGAAUGAAACUCAAAGGAAUUGACGGGGGCCCGCACAAGCGGAGGAACAUGUG